rnacentral:RNase_P_RNA from 2 species
UAAGCAGGCCUUCUUAUCGCUUUUAUUUAUAAAAGAGGAAAGUCCGGACACCAAAGAGCAUUAUAGCGGGUAACACCCGUCGCUAUUUGUAAUAGAAUAGAGGACAAGUGCAACAGAAAGCAUGUACAGUUAGGCUGUAGUGAAACCAGGUAAACUCUAUAAGGUGAAACGUCACGUAUACCAACGCUUGAGAGCUGCUCGCUCAAUGUUGGAGGGUGGGCGGUUUGAACAAAAUAGUAAUAUUUUGUCUAGAUAAAUGAUAAGACAAGACAGAAUCCGGCUUAUGGCCUGCUUUUUUA